AUUCAACGCUGGCGGCAGGCCUAACACAUGCAAGUCGAGCGAGCGGCGGACGGGUGAGUAAUGUCUGGGAAACUGCCUGAUGGAGUGGGAUAACUCCUGGAAACGGUAGCUAAUACCGCAUACCAUCAGAUGUGCCCAGAUGGGGUUAGCUAGUAGGUGUGGUAACGGGUGACCUAGGCGACGAUCCCUCGCUGGUCUGAGAGGAUGACCAGCCACACAGGAACUGAUACACGGUCCAGACUCCUACGGGAGUCAGCAGAGGGAAAUAUUGCGCAAUAGGCGCAAUGCUGAUGCAGCCAUGCCGGGUAUGUGAAGAAGGCCUUGGGGUUGUAAAGCACGUUCAGCGGUGAGGAGUUACCCGCAGAAGAAGCACCGGCUAACUCCGUGACAGCAGCCGCGGUAAUUC
rnacentral:rRNA from 1 species